GGCGAUCUUGGCGAUGGCGGCCUGAGAAUCUGAUCGUCUUCUAUUCGAUUCACCAUUUAGUGAUUGAUUAGUCUCGCACACCAGAUCGAUCAUUGUCGUUUGGUUGUGACGAUCCCGUUCUCCACCCCAAGCAAUCUCGAUACUUUAUUCACUACGUUUUCCUUAUAUCAGAUCGAUCAUUGUCGUCUGGUAGUGAUCAUCCCGCUCUCCAAAGCA
rnacentral:lncRNA from 1 species